rnacentral:rRNA from 2 species
GGGAGCAAACAGGAUUAGAUACCCUGGUAGUCCACGCCGUAAACGAUGAGUGCUAAGUGUUAGAGGGUUUCCGCCCUUUAGUGCUGCAGCUAACGCAUUAAGCACUCCGCCUGGGGAGUACGGUCGCAAGACUGAAACUCAAAGGAAUUGACGGGGGCCCGCACAAGCGGUGGAGCAUGUGGUUUAAUUCGAAGCAACGCGAAGAACCUUACCAGGUCUUGACAUCCUCUGACAACUCUAGAGAUAGAGCGUUCCCCUUCGGGGGACAGAGUGACAGGUGGUGCAUGGUUGUCGUCAGCUCGUGUCGUGAGAUGUUGGGUUAAGUCCCGCAACGAGCGCAACCCUUGAUCUUAGUUGCCAGCAUUUAGUUGGGCACUCUAAGGUGACUGCCGGUGACAAACCGGAGGAAGGUGGGGAUGACGUCAAAUCAUCAUGCCCCUUAUGACCUGGGCUACACACGUGCUACAAUGGAUGGUACAAAGGGCUGCAAGACCGCGAGGUCAAGCCAAUCCCAUAAAACCAUUCUCAGUUCGGAUUGUAGGCUGCAACUCGCCUACAUGAAGCUGGAAUCGCUAGUAAUCGCGGAUCAGCAUGCCGCGGUGAAUACGUUUCCCGGGCCUUGUACACACCGCCCGUCACACCUAUCCGACGAGUUUGUAACGACCCGAAGUCGGUGGAGU